rnacentral:rRNA from 1 species
GGGCUUCGGCCCUGAGUAGAGUGGCGAACGGGUGAGUAACACGUGGGUGAUCUACCUUCAAGUGGGGGAUAACGUCCCGAAAGGGACGCUAAUACCGCAUGACGUUCUAGGUUUAAAGACCUGGAAACCAAAGCCGGGGACCGCAAGGCCUGGCGCUGGAAGAGGAGCCCGCGUCCGAUUAGCUAGUUGGCGGGGUAAUGGCCCACCAAGGCGACGAUCGGUAGCCGGCCUGAGAGGGCGGACGGCCACACUGGAACUGAGACACGGUCCAGACUCCUACGGGAGGCAGCAGUGGGGAAUUGUUCACAAUGGGCGCAAGCCUGAUGACGCAACGCCGCGUGGGGGAUGAAGGUCUUUGGAUUGUAAACCCUUGUCGAACGGGAAGAACGACUCGCGCAUUAACACUGCGCGGGACUGACGGUACCGUUAAAGGAAGCCACGGCUAACUCUGUGCCAGCAGCCGCGGUAAUACAGAGGUGGCAAGCGUUGUUCGGAAUUACUGGGCGUAAAGGGCGCGUAGGCGGCCAUCUAAGUCAGACGUGAAAUCCCCCGGCUUAACCUGGGAACUGCGUCUGAUACUGGAAGGCUCGAGUUUGGGAGAGGGAUGUGGAAUUCCAGGUGUAGCGGUGAAAUGCGUAGAUAUCUGGAGGAACACCGGUGGCGAAGGCGGCAUCCUGGACCAACACUGACGCUGAGGCGCGAAAGCUAGGGGAGCAAACGGGAUUAGAUACCCCGGUAGUCCUAGCCCUAAACGAUGAAUGCUUGGUGUGGCGGGUAUCGAUCCCUGCCGUGCC